rnacentral:misc_RNA from 1 species
AAGUCGUAACAAGGUUUCCGUAGGUGAACCUGCGGAAGGAUCAUUAACACGUGUUUAUUCACGUACAACGAAAGUGAACUGUACCUUUGUCCUAUUGUCGUUUAAUGAGUGGGUGCGGGAGAAUGGUGCGAGGGUUGACUGGCUGUGUUACGCACAGUUGGUUGGCUCUCUUACUCGUGCCCUAUGGUCCUUGAGGCCAAGCUUGUGGCGGCAGUAGUAGAUUAGUUCUGAACUGUGAUCCAGCGCCUGGGCUUCACAGUUCGGAAUGCCUUCAUUUUAUUACCCAUCACCUUUUUUAUCUGAUCUAAUUCUUUUUGGCAUUAGAUGAUCUCCUGGUCGCAAGACUGGUCGACGGCUGUCUAAUGUCAGAACACACAAAAAUACGAAACAACUCUUAGCAACGGAUAUCUUGGUUCUC